AUCGCUUCUCGGCCUUUUGGCUCAGAUCAAGUGUAGUAUCUGUUCUUAUCAGUUUAAUGUCUGAUACGUCCCCCAUCGGGGGACUACAUAUUAAAUGGAUUUUUCGAACAGGGAGUCGGAAAUGGGGCUUGCUCCGUCCGCUCCACGCAUCGACCCGGUAUUGCAGUACCUCCGGGAACGGUGCAACACUU
rnacentral:snRNA from 8 species